ACCAAAGCAAAGUUUUCAAAAAAAGAAAAACACAUGUGUAAGAAAAAAUGCAGUUAAGCACUUUUCAUUCUGUAAUGAUCCUUCCGUAGGGKGGGACUGCGGAAGGAUCAUUA
rnacentral:rRNA from 1 species